UAUGACCUUGGCUAAUGAUGGUGCCAGGUUGUGAUGGAGUGUUUGUUUGUGUGUUAGGUGGAGGGAAUUCCGCUGAUGUCAUGACAUAUCGGUGUGUGUGUGUGUGUGUGUGUGUGUGUGUGUGUGUGUGUGUGUGUGUGUGUGUGUGUGUGUGUGUGUACUUGGGUGUCUUUUCCCCAGCAGGGUGGCUGCUAUGACAACAGCAUUGAAGCGACCCUCGAUUUACACCCCAGAGCCUCUCAGUAUACAGACACACACACACACACACACACACACACACACACACACACACACACACACACACACUUCUUCACUGUGUUUAGUAAUUACAGUGUAUAAGAUGUAAGUGCACUAUUGAUAUUUCUUACACAUCUCCUUCUUCUUUCCCCUGUAUAUACACCCAGGUUCCCUUCUCAGGGUUUACCGGUUUCCUCCACCUCUGCUAACAGAAUCCACCCUGAAGUGUGUGUCUUGUACAGUCUGCAUUACCACGAUCGCUGGAACUGUAUAUACGUACACCCAUACACACGAUGCCUUCAUAACAAAAACGUGCAAAUAUGUUUAAUACAACCAUGAAGCUAACCUUCAAAAGCCCUGUUAGCAUUUCACUCGCUAGCCAUUAUUAGCGCAUUAUUAUUACUAUUAUUAUAUUAGGUAUUAGCAUUUCUUUUGGGGUUCAAUUUGUUUCUUGAAUAUGGACUUAACCCAGAACUGAAUAUGCCCCAUUUUUAUUUUAGUGCUGUGUUUGCAAUGAGUCAGCACUUUUCACAAACUGUGCUCACAGAGCUGUAGAGUCUGCUUCACUUCAUAAUCCACAUGCUAGAUAGAUAGAUAGAUAGAUAGAUAGAUAGAUAGAUAGAUAGAUAGAUAGAUAGAUAGAUAGAUAGAUAGAUAGAUAGAUCAUUUUUUUAGAGCAUGACAUUAAAUUAUAUACCCAGGAGGCGGGGUUAAUGCUAAUUAGGAUUAUAAUUAUAAUUAGAAUAUAGCCCUGUGUGUGUGUGUGUGUGUGUGUGUGUGUGUGUGUGUGUGUGUGUGAGUUAUCAGUAGUAGUAAUGGGUUUAAGGGCCUUGCUCAGGGGCCAGGAAGGACAUUUUUUGUUACACCUUUGUGUAACACUAAGGUUUGAUUUGUGGGAACAGUUUGGUUGAAGAUCCACAUAUGGCUGGAAAAUGCUGGUGUCCCAAUAAUUUUGACCCUACAGUGUAUCAUGUUUAUAAGAUUAUAGAAUUUUGUUUGAUUUGAACGGUAUAUAAAGUAAGAUUAUAUGAUCCUUCAAUUAUUUUUGCAGAUUGCAGUUAAAUAAAUAAAUCAAUAUAUAAAUGGAUCGUUUAGGUUUUCAACACGGAGCUCUUCGUGAGAUAUCUCGCAGCACGAGUCUGAGACAAAAGACACAUACAUGAGAAGAUAAAAGGAGUCUCUUGUUCUCCUCUGAAAUAUUCCUCACAAGACCCUCAGCUGAAGGAGACCCAAACAAAAACAGCAUUUACGCCAACGAAAACAGAUGUUCUUACGCAAUCCACUUGUUCAUCUCCCCCUGAAGUGGCACGUGGCCGCCCUGAUCUCAGUCCUACAGCUCGAUGUGCACUUUAUUUACAUACGUGUACUCCGGAGAACGCUGAACGAUUCGUCACCUGUUCAUCAUCAGCCAAAACUCUGAGUUUAUUUCCAGCGCUAUUCUCGAAUUUGAUUGGUCAGGAGGCGCAGAUGCGUCUUCUCGAAAGUUUUAAUGUUGGGACGCUACAGCAACAGUUUGGUUCUGUCCUUCUACAUACCCAAUGCUGCCAAAAGUUUUGGGACACCCAGAGGAGGGACAUGGGGUAGAAGACUGCUGAGGAUGGAGCCACCAGGCAGGAGGAAAGAAAGGAGGAAGGCCAAGGAGGAGGUUUGAGGAUGUGGUGAGGGAAGACAUGCAGGUGGGUCUGAAAGAUGCAGAUGUAGAAGAGAGAAUAAUAUGGAGAUCGAUGACUUCAGACCGUUUCAAAACUUGAAGGCACACAAUUGAAUAGGAUGUUUUUGAAAAGAUUUUCCGUUCACUUGAACUUCAUGAAGAUCUGCUUUCCAUGGAUUGGAGUGGAAGAUCUUCCUGCUAUAGGGCUACCAACCCUAUUGAACACCUAUAUGAUGAAUUGGAACAUCACUCCUGAUCUUCUCAACGUCAGUACCUGAUUUCCCUAAAUCCCUUGGGCCAGAAUGAAUCUCACACAAAUCUUGAUGAAAUCUGGUGGAACGUAUUCCCAGAAGAGUGGAGAUUAUUAUACGAGCAAACGGGGAAUGGGAUGUUAAAAAAGUUUUACAUACUGAUCUUAUACUUUGGUGCCCACAAAUGUUUUGGCUUCUCACAAGGCCGUAUUUUUGGCGAACAAAUCUAAUCUAUGCAAAUUUAUACAGAGAAGAAACGCUAACAGUUUGCAUGAGAAGGUCUCUGAGAAUUCAGGAGCCUGAAGCGCUUCAAAGCCGCUCUUUUGAAUGGAUGUGUUAUUUGUACCACGCUGCGUCCAGCCUCCUCUCAGAUGUGCGGCCAGCGGAAUUUCGGGAAUCACGGCGGCACGUAGGCUCACGGGCCGACUUCAUUAACGACAAACAAAGCUCAAUGAAACAAAGCUGAGACGUAGGCUGAGCUCGGGGAGAACGAUCCAAGAGAACAACACGUGCCCUUGUGUGCGAAACGACGUCAUAAUUCACACCGGGAACUUGAAGAAAAUGUUGUAAACAAAAAUCAAAAACUUACAGGAAGAUCGAAUCGAAGUUCUUUAGAAAUGGAUAAGGGGCGUAACCCGACUCUGAAGAUGCGUAUAUGCAUAUAUACACUAUAUGGACAAAAGUAUUUGGACACCUAACAUCACCAGUCAUAUCUGCUUCAAAACCAAACCUGCUGUUCAGGAUGUCUUUGUGGAGAAACACAAAGCCUCCAUGAAGAUAUGCUUUCCAUGGUUUCGAAGAUGUGGAAGGUCUCCAGCUAUAGCGCUCUCACCUCAAUCCUAUUAAACAAGGUGAACUGGAACGUCAUCCCAGGCCUCCUCAUCUCAGCAAAUCAGAACCUGACUUUCUAAACACCCAUGUGGAUGAAGGAAAUGUCAACGAAAUCUCCAGUGAAACAUCUUCCCAGGAGAGUGAAGCUCAAUUAAGCAUUUCGAGGUAGAAAUGGUUCAAACCCUUCGGUCAUUUGGAACGAGAGUUAAAGAAGCACCAGCUUGGUCAGGAUGAGAGCAUGCAAUCACAUAUUGCUGGAGGCUCAUUUGCAUAUUGCAGCUUUUUGUUGCAUGGGUAUCAGACGACCGGCCGAUAAUGACGUGAUAUUACAAUGAACGUGAACCAAAACCACGGGAAAUGCAAGGUGUGUUAUUGAUUGAUUAAUCGAUUGAUUUAAAUACCAGGCUACAGGAUGCCCUUGGCGUUGACCCACAGGUGGAUGACACAUCCAAGCAGCUAGUGCACAUUUGCAAAUUUCGUCAAAUUGAAAAAAAAGGCAGAAUAAGUCAAUCAAUUUCUAAUCAAAAUAAUGUGCAUGCAGUCCCCCCCUCCUCCCCCAAACAUGUCAUCUGUAUCCUAGGAAACUGUAGCACGAUCCGAAAACCUAAACAGCAGCAAGUCAUAUGACCAAAUGCAAUGCAAUGCAAUGCAAAAAAAAAAAGAAGAAUCAGGCGUUAUUCAGGCGUGGAAAUCAAUUUCACGUGCGACUUACGGGCUCGUGACGUCGCCGACGGUGUCAUCAUGAGCAGCAGCAUCAUCAGCAUCAGCAUCAGCAUCCUCGUCCCUUCAUCCCGGUGUGCAUCAUGACGGCCUCGCCUCUGGGAAAAA